AGCGGCGGACGGGUGAGUAACGCGUGGGUAACCUGCUCAUACAGGGGGAUAACAGUUAGAAAUGACUGCUAAUACCGCAUAAGACCACGGUACCGCAUGGUACAGUGGUAAAAACUCCGGUGGUAUGAGAUGGACCCGCGUCUGAUUAGGUAGUUGGUGGGGUAACGGCCUACCAAGCCGACGAUCAGUAGCCGACCUGAGAGGGUGACCGGCCACAUUGGGACUGAGACACGGCCCAG
rnacentral:rRNA from 1 species